GAUGAAGAACGUAGCGAAAUGCGAUACUUGGUGUGAAUUGCAGAAUCCCGUGAACCAUCGAGUCUUUGAACGCAAGUUGCGCCCGAAGCCAUCAGGUUGAGGGCACGUCUGCCUGGGCGUCACAUAUCGUUGCUCGAUGCCUAUCGCAUUGCGAUAGGACUUAGGGCGAAUGAUGGCUUCCCGUGAGCGUUGUUGCCUCGCGGUUGGUUGAAAAUCGAGUCCUUGGUAGGGUGUGCCAUGAUAGAUGGUGGUCGAGUUAGCACGAGACCAAUCAUGUGCAUGCUCCCCAAAAUAUGGCCUCUGUGACCCACACGCGCCUUUUGACGCUCAUGACGAGACCUCAGGUCAGGCGGGGCUACCCGCUGAAUUUAAGCAUAUCAAUAAGCGGAGGA
rnacentral:misc_RNA from 1 species